GGGGAUUUAGCUCAGCGGUAGAGCGCUUGCCUAGCAAGCGAAAGGCCCUGGGUUCGGUCCCCAGCGCCG
rfam:Rattus norvegicus chromosome 4, whole genome shotgun sequence.